rnacentral:rRNA from 1 species
UACGUAGGUGGCAAGCGUUAUCCGGAAUUAUUGGGCGUAAAGCGCACGUAGGUGGUCUGUUAUGUCAGAUGUGAAAGCCCUCGGCUUAACUGUGGAAGUGCACCUGAAACUGGCAGGCUUGAGUACGAAAGAGGGUCGCGGAAUUCCGGGUGUAGCGGUGGAAUGCGUAGAGAUCCGGAAGAACACCAGUGGCGAAGGCGGCCCGCUGGGCAGAGACUGACGCUGAGGCGCGACAGCGUGGGGAGCAAACAGG